GUACUCUCACACUUCUGAUCCUUUGGAUCGGGAGCGGUGGACUUGGGUGCUGCUGCUUUACUGUGGCUCACCUCAAAUGCAUUAGUGCAACUCUUGGUUGGACAUAGUACGGCGUGAUAAGUGUCUUCGCCGGCACCUCGCAAGAGGGUGGCUGAUCAGGGGCUCUGUGCUUUCCAACUGUCUUCAGACAACAACUGACA
rnacentral:misc_RNA from 1 species